UACGGAGGGUGCGAGCGUUGUCCGGAAUCACUGGGCGUAAAGAGCGCGCAGGCGGUCGAUCAAGUCGAGUGUGAAAGCCCCCGGCUCAACUGGGGAGGGUCAUUCGAUACUGAUCGACUCGAAGGCAGGAGAGGGUAGUGGAAUUCCCGGUGUAGUGGUGAAAUGCGCAGAUAUCAGGAGGAACACCGGUGGCGAAGGCGGUUCUCUGGGCAUUACCUGACGCUGAGGAGCGAAAGUGUGGGGAGCAAACAGG
rnacentral:rRNA from 1 species